rnacentral:misc_RNA from 1 species
GUUUUUCGUUAGAGAGGAAAGCCAAACAAACGCAGAGAGACAGCAAGCGAGAAAACAAAUUCUUCGAGACAAAGAGAAGGAAAGAGCGAGAAAAUAAGGGAAAAUAGUUGCAGAGAAGGGGUUUCGUUUUUUACUCAUGGUCCCAAGGGGUUUCAGGUUCGGCAUUGUCAGCUCUCUGCAACAAUAGCUUCCCCCAUGUGACCUCCUCUCUGCCACUUCGUUUCUUCUAGAACAGAAAAGAAAAAUAAAACCUUAAAUUGCCUAUAUUUUGAGAGAGCGAAAUCAUUGACAAAGUUGUUACAGUUAUUAACAAAUAGAGAUAUAGAGGCAAGGCAUGAUGAGCGAAAAUCUCAUUUGGAGGGAACAGAUUUGAUCUUUGUAUCAACCGCAUUUCUGUUGGAAUCGAAGAAUUUGUUGAUGGUGCAUUGGCAUUUCGGUUUUGAGGGAAUCUAGGGUUUAUUGGCUUUACAUUGGAUCUAAAUCUGAUAAAUAUCUGUGGUCGAAAUGGUUGCUACACGAAAUCUACUGGUUGGAUCUUCCGUUUGGGUGGAGGAUCCUGAGGCAUCUUGGGUUGAUGGAGAAGUUGUGGAAAUUAACGGUGAUGGGAUUACUAUAAAUUGCACAUCAGGAAAGAAAGUUGUUGCUAAAGCAUCUGAUGUUCAUCCAAAGGAUCCUGAAUUUCCCACGUGUGGUGUGGAUGAUAUGACAAAGCUGGCAUAUUUGCAUGAGCCAGGGGUUUUGUACAAUCUUAAAUGUAGAUACGACGAAAAUGAAAUCUAUACUUACACGGGAAAUAUAUUGAUUGCGGUGAAUCCUUUUCAAAGACUUCCUCAUUUAUAUGAUAAUGAUAUAAUGAGACAGUAUAAAGGGGCAGCCAUUGGUGAGCUGAGUCCACAUCCAUUUGCUGUUGCAGAUUCUGCUUACAGACAGAUGAUCACUGAGGGAAUAAGCCAGGCAAUUUUGGUUAGCGGGGAAAGUGGUGCUGGUAAAACAGAGAGUACAAAGAUGCUUAUGCGUUAUUUGGCCUAUAUGGGAGGGAGAGUGGCAGCUGAGGGUAGGUCUGUUGAGCAGCAAGUUUUAGAGUCCAAUCCUGUUUUGGAAGCGUUUGGUAAUGCCAAGACUGUCAGGAAUAAUAACUCAAGUCGCUUUGGCAAGUUCGUGGAGAUUCAGUUUGAU